rnacentral:rRNA from 1 species
GACGAACGCUGGCGGCGUGCUUAACACAUGCAAGUCGAACGAAGUGGCGAACGGGUGAGUAACGCGUAAUCAACCUGCCCUUCAGAGGGGGACAACAGUUGGAAACGACUGCUCAUACCUCAUACUGAAGGAGGUGGUGGCGACUGGUUCGCUAGUUGGAGGGGUAACGGCCCCUCAAGGGGAUGAUCAGUAGAAGUUGUGAGAGGAGGAACGGCGACAUGGUGAAUGAGACACGGCCCAGACUCCCACGGGAGGCAGCAGUGGGGAAUAUUUCGCAAUGGACGAAAGUCCGACGGAGCAACGCCGCGUGAGUGAUGACGGCCUUCGGGUUGUAAAGCUCUGUUAAUCGUGACGCGGUACCGGAAUAGAAAGCCACGGCUAACUACGUGCCAGCCGGCGCGGUAAUAC